rnacentral:rRNA from 1 species
AACGAACGCUGGCGGUGUGCUUAACACAUGCAAGUCGAACGAGAAAGUUUCCUUCGGGGAACUAGUAAAGUGGCGCAAGGGUGAGUAACACGUGAAUAAUCUGCCCUCGAGAUCGGGAUAACUUGGCGAAAGCUAAGCUAAUACCGGAUAAGACCACAUUUCAUAAGAAAUGGGGGAAAAGGAGUCUCAAUCUUCACUCGAGGAUGAGUUCGCGGACCAUUAGCUUGUUGGUGAGAUAAAAGCUCACCAAGGCUACGAUGGAUAGCCGACCUGAGAGGGUGAACGGCCACACUGGAACUGAGACACGGUCCAGACUCCUACGGGUGGCAGCAGUGGGGAAGUAUUGCGCAAUGGGGGCGAAAGCCUGACGCAGCAACACCGUGUGAGCGAUG